rnacentral:rRNA from 1 species
AUUGAACGCUGGCGGCAUGCCUUACACAUGCAAGUCGAACGGUAACAGGUCUUCGGAUGCUGACGAGUGGCGAACGGGUGAGUAAUACAUCGGAACGUGCCUAGUAGUGGGGGAUAACUACUCGAAAGAGUGGCUAAUACCGCAUGAGAUCUACGGAUGAAAGCAGGGGAUCGCAAGACCUUGUGCUACUAGAGCGGCCGAUGGCAGAUUAGGUAGUUGGUGGGAUAAAAGCUUACCAAGCCGACGAUCUGUAGCUGGUCUGAGAGGACGAUCAGCCACACUGGGACUGAGACACGGCCCAGACUCCUACGGGAGGCAGCAGUGGGGAAUUUUGGACAAUGGGCGCAAGCCUGAUCCAGCAAUGCCGCGUGCAGGAUGAAGGCCUUCGGGUUGUAAACUGCUUUUGUACGGAACGAAAAGCCCCAGGUUAAUGCCCUGGGGUCAUGACGGUACCGUAAGAAUAAGCACCGGCUAACUACGUGCCAGCCGCCGCCGUAA